UACGUAGGGGGCAAGCGUUAUCCGGAUUUACUGGGUGUAAAGGGAGCGUAGACGGCAGGGCAAGUCUGAUGUGAAAGGUCGGGGCCCAACCCCGGGACUGCAUUGGAAACUGUCCGGCUGGAGUACAGGAGAGGUAAGUGGAGUUCCUAGUGUAGCGGUGAAAUGCGUAGAUAUUAGGAGGAACACCAGUGGCGAAGGCGGCUUACUGGACUGUAACUGACGUUGAGGCUCGAAAGCGUGGGGAGCAAACAGG
rnacentral:rRNA from 1 species